UGUCCUGAUGAUACUGAUAAUAGGAAGUGCCGUCAGAAGCGAUAACUGACGAUGUUUGUGCCCGUCUGACC
rnacentral:snoRNA from 1 species